rnacentral:lncRNA from 1 species
GCACCACACCCCCUGCCCCUCCCGGCGUGCCCGAGCCCCCCGGUCCCUUCCCGUGCAGUGAGUGCCGCGAGAGCUUCACGCGGCGCGCAGUGCUGCUGGAGCACCAGGCGGUGCACACGGGCGACAAGUCCUUCGGCUGCGUGGAGUGCGGAGAGCGCUUCGGGCGCCGCUCGGUGCUGCUGCAGCACCGGCGACUACACAGUGGCGAGCGCCCCUUCGCCUGCGCCGAGUGCGGCCAGAGCUUCCGCCAGCGCUCCAACCUCACCCAGCACCGGCGCAUCCACACCGGGGAGCGGCCCUUCGCUUGCGCCGAGUGCGGCAAGACCUUCCGCCAGCGGCCCACGCUCACGCAGCACCUGCGUGUGCACACCGGCGAAAAGCCCUUUGCCUGCCCCGAGUGUGGCCAGCGCUUCAGCCAGCGCCUCAAGCUCACCCGCCACCAGAGGACACACACCGGGGAGAAGCCGUACCACUGCGGUGAGUGCGGCCUGGGCUUCACGCAGGUGUCGCGGCUCACCGAGCACCAGCGGAUCCACACCGGCGAGCGGCCCUUCACCUGCCCCGAGUGCGGCCAGAGCUUCCGGCAGCACGCCAACCUCACCCAGCACCGGCGCAUCCACACCGGGGAGCGGCCCUACAAAUGUCCCGAGUGCGGCAAGACCUUCCGCCAGCGGCCCACACUCACACAGCACCUGCGCACCCACCGGCGAGAGAAGCCCUUCGCAUGCCAGGACUGUGGGCGCUGUUUCCACCAGAGCACCAAGCUCAUCCAGCACCAGCGUGUCCACAGCGUGGAGUAGCUUCAGCCAGCACGCCCUGCGUCCACUACCUCACAGUGUUGUGAUCAGAGGUAGAGGCAGCCUGCCCGCCCGUGGUCCCCGCAGGUGCUUAAUAAACAGUAAACAGAGUUGGGUCUGCACCCACUCGCUGCACUCCAUCUGCAAGCCCCUCUCUGCCACCCUAUCCAGCACUCCUCUGUGCCCACAAGUGACUGCUGGCAGCGCCUGCUGCCGUCUGAGAGGCUCCUGUACCUGCCUCUGGCUUGCCUAG